rnacentral:rRNA from 1 species
GACGAACGCUGGCGGCGUGCCUAAUACAUGCAAGUCGAACGCAGUGGGGACGGGUGAGUAACACGUGGGUAACCUCCCCAUCAGAGGGGCUAACACUUGGAAACAGGUGCUAAACCGAUACUGUUGGAUGGACCCGCGGUGCAUUAGCUAGUUGGUGCGGGAACGGCUCACCAAGGCCACGAGGCCUAGCCGACCUGAGAGGGUGAUCGGCCAAACUGGGACUGAGACACGGCCCAGACUCGUACGGGAGGCAGCAGUAGGGAAUCUUCGGCAAUGGACGAAAGGCUGACCGAGCAACGCCGCGUGAGUGAAGAAGGUUUUCGGAUCGUAAAACUCUGGUGUUAGAGAAGCGGUAUCUAACCAGAAAGCCACGGCUAACUACGUGCCAGCAGCCGCGGUAAUUC